AUGAAGCUCAUUGGCUGGAACUGCCGUGGCAUGGGCAAGGACCUCAGCAGCUCUACUAAGAUGGAGUACCUCGCAAAAUUGAUGAAUUCCACCCGUGCUCAGGUAACUUUCGUAUCUGAAAUUAGAACAUCAAGGUACAGUUCUUCUCAUCUUAACUCUCAAUUUAAUAAUAACGAUAGCUUCGUAGUUCCAUCUGUUGGUCGUUCUGGUGGUCUUUGGAUACUUUGGUCUGAUGAAGUUUGUGUCUCUGUCAAGUUCUCUAAUCAUUAUAUGAUUUUAGCCCUUGUUGUCAAUAAAAUUACCAAUGUGGAAUUUGUUCUGGCUUGUGUUUAUGGAGAUCCCCAUCAUUGCCACCUAAUUUGGGAUCAUGUUCUAAAUUUUGUUAAUGAUAACAUAGGGAAGCCAAUUGUUUGUUUCGGUGAUCUGAAUGAUAUCAUGUGUGAUACGGAAACUACUUCUCUCAAUGUGAAUAAGAACCGUAUGCGUGCUGUCAAUAACUAUGUCAAGCAAUGUGGUCUGUUUGAUCUGGGGUUUAGUGGACCGGCUUAUACUUGGACAAAUAUGCGGUUCUCCUCAAGACCUAUCUUUGAAAGGCUUGAUCGUUGUCUUGCCAAUGCAGAUUGA
rnacentral:rRNA from 1 species